UUAUAAAGUUAUUUUUAUGCCCCACCUACGAUAGUAGAGGGGCAUUAUGUUUUCUGGUCUGUGCGUCCGCUCGUUCGUUCGUCCGUCCGUCUGUUCGUUCGUUCGUUCGUCUGUUCGUUCGUCCGUCUGUCCCGCUUCAGGUUAAAGUUUUUGGUCAAGGUAGUUUUUGAUGAAGUUGAAGUCCAAUCAACUUGAAACUUAGUACACAUGUUCCUUAUGAUAUGAUCUUUCUAAUUUUAAAGCCAAAUUAAACUUUUGACCCCAAUUUCACGGUCCACUGAACAUAGAAAAUGAAAGUGC
rnacentral:lncRNA from 1 species